AGAGUUUGAUCCUGGCUCAGGACGAACGCUGGCGGCGUGCUUAACACAUGCAAGUCGAACGGAGCACCCUUGAAGGAGUUUUCGGACAACGGAUGGGAAUGCUUAGUGGCGGACUGGUGAGUAACGCGUGAGGAACCUGCCUUCCAGAGGGGGACAACAGUUGGAAACGACUGCUAAUACCGCAUGACGCAUUGGUGUCGCAUGGCACUGAUGUCAAAGAUUUAUCGCUGGAAGAUGGCCUCGCGUCUGAUUAGCUAGUUGGUGAGGUAACGGCCCACCAAGGCGACGAUCAGUAGCCGGACUGAGAGGUUGGCCGGCCACAUUGGGACUGAGAUACGGCCCAGACUCCUACGGGAGGCAGCAGUGGGGAAUAUUGGGCAAUGGACGCAAGUCUGACCCAGCAACGCCGCGUGAAGGAAGAAGGCUUCCGGGUUGUAAACUUCUUUUAAGGGGGAAGAGCAGAAGACGGUACCCCUUGAAUAAGCCACGGCUAACUACGUG
rnacentral:rRNA from 1 species